rnacentral:sRNA from 1 species
UCCUACAGUCUGCUCAGAAAAUCUUUGGAGGUGAGAUCAAGAAUCAUAUCCUUUUGUUUUUGAAAAAAGAAGGAAGUGAAGAUGUUAUUAAUGGAUUUGGUCAGGCCGCUAAAGAUUUCAAGGGAAAGAUUCUUUUCAUCUAUUUGGACACCGCCAAUGAGGACAACGGUC